rnacentral:rRNA from 1 species
CAGUAGCCGCGGGAAUACGUAGGGUGCGAGCGUUAAUCGGAAUUACUGGGCGUAAAGCGUGCGCAGGCGGUUUGUUAAGACAGAUGUGAAAUCCCCGGGCUUAACCUGGGAACUGCGUUUGUGACUGGCCGGCUAGAGUAUGGCAGAGGGAGGUGGAAUUCCACGUGUAGCAGUGAAAUGCGUAGAUAUGUGGAGGAACACCGAUGGCGAAGGCAGCCUCCUGGGCCAAUACUGACGCUCAUGCACGAAAGCGUGGGGAGCAAACAGGAUUAGAUACCCCAGUAGUCCCUGUCUCUUAUAA